rnacentral:rRNA from 1 species
GUCCUUUUGAAUUUAAUUGAAGGUCUGACCUGCCCAGUGAUGAAUUUAACGGCCGCGGUAUAUUGACCGUGCAAAGGUAGCAUAAUCAUUAGUCUUUUAAUAGAGGGCUGGAAUGAAUGGUUUAACGAGGAACUGACUGUCUCAUUUUAUUUGUUUUAAAAUUUAAUUUUUUAGUCAAAAAGCUAAAAUUUUAUUGGAAGACGAGAAGACCCUAUAGAUCUUUAUAUAAGUUCUUGUAAUCAUUUCUAUAUUAAUAUGUUUAUAUUAAUUUAUAUUUUGUUGGGGUGACAAAAAUAUAUAAUUAACUUUUUUAUUUAUUUACCAUUGAUAUAUGAAUAUUUGAUCCAUUAUUAGUGAUUAUUAGAUUAAGUUACCUUAGGGAUAACAGCGUAAUCCUCCUCCAGAGUUCAUAUUUACAGGAAGGGCUUGCGACCUCGAUGUUGGAUUAAGAUAAUAAUUAGGUGUAGCCGCUUAAUUUAUAGGUCUGUUCGACCUUUAAAUUCUU